UACGUAGGGGGCAAGCGUUGUCCGGAAUUAUUGGGCGUAAAGAGCGUGUAGGCGGUCCGGUAAGUCAGCUGUGAAAGUCAAGGGCUCAACCCUUGAAUGCCGGUUGAUACUGUCGGGCUAGAGUCCGGAAGGGGCGAGUGGAAUUCCCGGUGUAGCGGUGAAAUGCGCAGAUAUCGGGAGGAGCACCAAUGGCGAAGGCAGCUCGCUGGGACGGUACUGACGCUGAGACGCGAAAGCGUGGGGAGCAAACAGG
rnacentral:rRNA from 1 species